UAUGAUUUGAUUUGAUUUGAUUAGGGAAUGGGUGCUGUGCUGCUGUUGCAGCAACUGGUCUUCUGUACAACGAAGACCUUCCGCACCGGCGUACGCAGUCGUACAAAGUGAGUCGCACAUAUGAGCAGUGUAAAUGUUGUAGUGUGUAUUUUGUGUGGAAGAGGGCGAUGGAAGUACCAUCAUUUAUAUGCGAACUUGUUAGGCGAUUUAGGAAGAGGUGUGAACUGUUCGUGUAGUGGUGCGUGCCCGGAUGUGGGAGCAACUAUGCUCACCAGGAGAGUUGAACUCGGAUCUCAAGGUGCCCCGAUCACCAAGUGACGCCUUAUCCAACUCACCCAUCCGCCCCCCUUCAAAUCUGCUAUCCCUACCGUUCUUUACGCGCCUCAGUUUUAUUUCUGAAAGAAGAAAAAAAAUGUCGCUGAAAAUUUAAGCAUGCGGAGAAAACAGAUGGGAGUAUACUAAAAAAAAUAGCGUAAAACCUAUGGUGUGAAGCAUCAUAUCUUACCCAUCUUCGAUUCUUAUUUUCCCAUUUUUGGAGGUAAAACUACAAAUUGAUCCAAGCACAAUCUCAAGUUACCCUAUUGACAAAGCUGUUAGGCAACAACUUUUCAUCAUCCCACACCUGGAAGAGGCGCUUUUUUUGUACCAAUUUCUGUUCCCAAUUCCGCAUCCAUAGCAUUAUCCUUAUGGCAGCUUAAGAGCGCAGGCAACAGUUCAACGUAAUGCAAACAUGUUACAUGUUCGUACAGUACAUUCACUAUCAGUGAAUGAUAGUGAACGAAUGUAAUAAUGUGGUAAUGUGAGAAUGUGAACUAAUGUAAUAAUCUAUGUAAACUUUACAUCAGAUGUAUCUAGCGAAACUGGAUAUCCAAUUUCAACAACUUGUGCACCACUAGCGUUGGAACACAUUUCAAGACAAAUUCCAAAUGGCAUUUUUUUCCCUCUGGUAUUUGCCAGGACUGUUAAUGCUUCACGACUUCGGAUAGCAGUGUUUUGAUCAAUACACACCAUCUGACAUCGGAAACAUGCACCGACAUUCUG